ensembl:lncRNA
AUGGCAGCGGGGCCAGCCCUGGGGGCCAGGGCCCGCAGGGGGUCUGCGGUGUCCCUGGCGGGGUGGGCAGCCUCCAGCAGGCCUGGAGAGCCGAGCAGCCCCGAAGGAGCUCCCCGGGGCCGGGGAAGUUUCCUGUUUGCUGCCCGCGCUGAAGCAUCGGCCCCGCAACCGCUGCCGGGCCCGCGCUUCCGGCCGGGGCUCCCGCCCGGAGCCCCCCUGCACUAUCAGCUCGCCAGAUGCCUUUUUCAGGAUACUGUGGUAAAACUGUGCCGGGCAGGCGCUGUCAUUUGGGGUUUUCUCUCGUGUCAGCCUCGAAGACAAAUUGGGCAAGGAGGAGCAAGAGGGGAAAGAAAAAAUAAAAUUAAAAAAAAAAUAAUAAAUAGAAGAAAGGAAGAUGCCGGCUGCCAUCCGUCGGCGGGGCCGGCCCGUGUGGCGGCAUGGCGAUGGGUCCCCCAAGCGGCGUGGCGGCGGUGGGCAGCGUGGUGGCAGGACCGGGCGGCCGCCAUGGCGGCAUGGCCUCCCCGGGCGCUGUCGGCCUCUAGUGGCGGCGGUGGCCGCGUGGUGUCAUGGCGGUGCUGCAGGCCCCGUGGGUCCCAGCAGCGCCACGGGGCCUUCUGCCUUCCCUCCUGGUGGGGCUGUCUGUUCUGGAUGUGGCCUCUGGGUGCUGCCACCUCCAGAACGUCAUCCUCCACCAGGACAUCAUCCUCUACCAGGACAUCAUCCUCCACCAGGACAUCGUCCUCCAUCGUGAUACCAUCAUUCAUCAUCCAUCACCCUCCGGAGGGACGUGGCCCACCCUGCGAUGACAAGGGAGCAGGAGCGCCAUGCACCUGCCUGUCCCCGUGUAGCACCCAGCAGCACCCAGGCAGGACAGGGUGCCCCAAAGCAUCUGCAGUGCCCUCAUGGCUGCUGCUCUGGGGCCGCCUGGUGGUGUUGGGCAUCCACUGUACUGGGCAGACUGGGAGCUGGUGGUGGGAAGGCAGCGGUGACAGUGCAGGGAAAUCUGUCUGUCUGCGGAGCUGCGCAGGGGGCUGUCAGAGCCACCGUGGGGCUGGGGGGCCCACAGCGCUGGCACAAGCAUGGUUUCCACUGUGGGAGAGCGGAGAGUGCCCAGGAGAAGAUGUCCUUGGGGACCCAGAGGUGCAGAAGUGCCAGCCGUCCUACAGCAGAGCAGUAGACGGUGUGGAUGGUGGCACUGGGGACAGCAGUGACCAGCAGGCAGCACAGGCAGCCGUGUGCCACCCCUGCCAGGCAGGCAGCCGUGCUGAGCCAGAGACCCGAAAUCAUGGCUGCUCGCUUUUGCUGGCAAAUCUUGCGUUUGUGUGGUUUCCUUUUCCUUCUCCUACGUACUCCUUUUUCCUUCUCUCUUCAUGUUGUUCCCUUUCCUGUGGAGGCAAAUUUCAGCCCUUCCAACCUUUGGGUUCCAAACUCUGCACAAGAGCAAAACUAAUCAGGGAGUCCCAGCAGGGCUCAGCGUUAAUUACCCAUGAGAUGCUAAUCUGCUGGAGGGUCUCGAGUGCUCCUUCAGCCGAGCCGUCCUUUUCCUUCUGCUCUGCAAUUCCCCUGGCAGAUGCCUGCCGACUCCCCACAGCCUACCCAGGCAAUUUGUGCUGA